AGAGUUUGAUCCUGGCUCAGGUUGAACGCUGGCGGCAGGCCUAACACAUGCAAGUCGAGCGGAUGAAGGGAGCUUGCUCCCUGAUUUAGCGGCGGACGGGUGAGUAAUGCCUAGGAAUCUGCCUGGUAGUGGGGGAUAACGUUCCGAAAGGAACGCUAAUACCGCAUACGUCCUACGGGAGAAAGCAGGGGACCUUCGGGCCUUGCGCUAUCAGAUGAGCCUAGGUCGGAUUAGCUAGUUGGUGAGGUAAUGGCUCACCAAGGCGACGAUCCGUAACUGGUCUGAGAGGAUGAUCAGUCACACUGGAACUGAGACACGGUCCAGACUCCUACGGGAGGCAGCAGUGGGGAAUAUUGGACAAUGGGCGAAAGCCUGAUCCAGCCAUGCCGCGUGUGUGAAGAAGGUCUUCGGAUUGUAAAGCACUUUAAGUUGGGAGGAAGGGCAUUAACCUAAUACGUUAGUGUUUUGACGUUACCGACAGAAUAAGCACCGGCUAACUUCGUGCCAGCAGCCGCGGUAAUACGAAGGGUGCAAGCGUUAAUCGGAAUUACUGGGCGUAAAGCGCGCGUAGGUGGUUCGUUAAGUUGGAUGUGAAAGCCCCGGGCUCAACCUGGGAACUGCAUCCAAAACUGGCGAGCUAGAGUACGGUAGAGGGUGGUGGAAUUUCCUGUGUAGCGGUGAAAUGCGUAGA
rnacentral:rRNA from 1 species